rnacentral:rRNA from 1 species
CCUACGGGUGACAGCAGUGAGGAAUAUUGGUCAAUGGGCGCGAGCCUGAACCAGCCAAGUAGCGUGAAGGAUGAAUGCCCUACGGGUUGUAAACUUCUUUUAUAUAGGAAUAAAGUGAGGCACGUGUUCCUUUUUGUAUGUACUUUAUGAAUAAGGAUCGGCUAACUCCGUGCCAGCAGCCGCGGUAAUACGGAGGGUCCGAGCGUUAGCCGGAUUUAUUGGGUGUAAAGGGAGCGUAGGUGGGGUGUUAAGUCAGUUGUGAAAGUUUGCAGCUCAACUGUAAAACUGCAUUUGAUACUGGCAGUCUUGAGUACGGGUGAGGUAGGCGGAAUUCGUGGUGUAGCGGUGAAAUGCUUAGAGAUCACGAAGAA